ensembl:lncRNA
CUUAAGUCUGUGCUCCAAAGCAUUCAAAAAUUGAGACAGUUUAAGUUGGAAAUUUCAUUUUCAGUUUUAUGCUCAAAAGCAUUUUGAUUAUAAAGAUAAUUUAACAUCAUUUGCCAGCUGUAGGUAAUCACAAUUUAGUAGUUAACCUAAUUCAUGAUGCUAAUAAUACUCAUUUCAUACCCGAAGGGCUUCUAGGUCUGGCCUUAGUCUCUUUAUGUUGACCGCUGAGAAUUUGAUCUUAAAUCAGAAUCCCUUUCGUUCUGAUGGGACUGAAUCCGGGACAAGGUGUUUGAGAGCCGUGGUGCAGUGAAAAGCCAGUGUGAGGGCUGGUGAAACAGUGGGCUGACAUGCCCGGGAGCAGUGCCAGGGCGCUGUUGGUGCUGCCCGUUUGGGCUCAUGCUGUACAAGCUGUGUGAGCAUGGCCCAACUGGCUGCUGGGAAUGCCUCAGCGACAGCCCUGGACUACUGUACCAGCAUCCAGACGAACACACUGCUCUUGGCACAGAGAGAAAGAAACCAGAUGCUCCCCCUUCCAGCCGGGAAUGGACCAUAAGUAAUUGGACAGUUGACUCAAAAGCUGUUUCAUGGACAGGCGUGGGCUAUUCCUUCAUUAUUUCUACAUAAACUAAGCAGGUAAAAGGUCUGGAGUUGAUUUUAAGUGUCAUUUGAAUUUGAAAGCUGUUACUGUAAACCCACAUCAUGCGUGGCCAUAUCAACCGUUUGGUAC